ACAACAUUCUGACCGUCGGUCUACCCAGUAAUUAGAUCCGCUCGGUGGGAGAUCUUCCCUUUGUGGU
rnacentral:pre_miRNA from 1 species